CCCAAAUAAAGAAUAAAUACAGUUAAAAUAAGUAAAGAAAUUACAGAAUAACAUUACAUUUUUGUUAUGAGAGUAUUUUAAAGAAAUGGUACAGCAGUGUUUUUAUCAGCAUCGUGUAGCACUAUUGUACUUCUGCCAUCUGUUACUAGGAUUUUGAAAAGUGCUGAGUGUCACUAAGUCCCAGUGAUCUCUUUAGUGAGGUGCGAGAUCAUAAUCAGCCUGCCGUAUUCAGUCAGACGCACAGCAGCCUCGACCAGGACAAUGGAAAUGAACCAACUUGAUUAAAAUGGCUACAGUUAAUUAGUUUCAUUCAAAUCAUUUAAAUAAGGUGUCCUUGUAAACUUGAGGUAUUAAAAAGAGACUGAAAACUAAUUAAGCUGCUGCCAGUUCAGAUACUCAAGGCUUUAUUCUUCAGCUGUGCCCAGGGAAGACUAAAAAAAGACGACGCACCGAGAAGAGGCCAGUCUCCACAAGUUGGAAACUUCAUUACAAAAGCAAUUUUCAAAGGCCUGACAUUUUAAGAGCAUUAAGCAGGAUGGCAGAAGGUGACGGAGCUGUGGAGACACAGGAGAUGGAGACACAGGAGAUAAACAGUGAUGAGGAAGCCCUCCUCCAUUUUGGCAAAUACAGCGAGGCUCGGGCCGCAGUGCCAUGGGAGCAACGCACAUUCAAAGACAAGGUGCUCUACCACGUUGAUCGGAUCUUCCUAGGCUUUCUUGCACUCUUUUUGCUGGUACUCAUAGGAGAUUUCCUGUAUAAGAUCUGGUAUGUGACCAGCGGGAGGAAAACCCUGGAGUUUAUUCUGGAAAUUGUGUCGUACCUCUUUACACAAGAGAAGGAUGAAGAGCUAAUAGAACUUUAGACGUUUCUGAAAUUCACAUCUGUUUUCCUUGAUUGCUUUCUGCAUCAAGAUGGAACUGAAACUGAAUUUAAUUCUAGGACCCUUUCAAUAAAGUAUAAAAGGUUUUGUUAAUGACCUGUACAACUGUGAAAUCUGUUUAAUCAUGAGUCAGUGUUUGAGAUUUUGAGGUUUUGUUCCUGUGAAUAAAAUGCUUCUAGAUCUAUUCAUUUUGUAUUCUUUUAAUGUGGUUAUGUCAGGAGCUGCUUGUUUUACUUCAGGUAGCUGCUGUUCUAAUAUUUGGCUAUGAUGUGUCAUGAAUUACAUGAUCAUGGCAUUAAAUUACAUUAAAUGGCAUCAAAAGUGACAAAAG
ensembl:lncRNA